CCCCGUGGAGCUUUACUGCAACCUGAUAUGGAAUGUUUGUACCGCUUGUACAGGAUAGGUAGGAGCCGAAGAGACGUGUGCGCUAGCAUACGAGGAGGCAAUGGUGGGAUACUACCCUGGCUGUAUGACCAUUCUAACCCGCCACGCUUAGCGCGUGGGGAGACAGUGUCAGGUGGGCAGUUUGACUGGGGCGGUCGCCUCCUAAAGAGGAACGGAGGCGCCCAAAGGGUCCCUCAGAAUGGAUGGAAAUCAUUCGCAGAGUGUAAAGGCACAAGGGAGCUUGACUGCGAGACUGACAAGUCGAGCAGGGACGAAAGUCGGGCUUAGUGAUCCGGUGGUUCCGCAUGGAAGGGCCA
rnacentral:rRNA from 1 species